rnacentral:rRNA from 1 species
CUAGGACGCGGAGGACAUUACCACACCUAAAAAACUUUUCACGGUGAACCGGUAUCAACCCUUUUAGUUGGGGGUCUUGCUUUUUGCGAGCCCUAUCAUGGCGAAUGUUUGGACUUCGGUCUGGGCUAGUAGCUUUUUGUUUUAAACCCAUUCUACAAUACUGAUUAUACUGUGGGGACGAAAGUCUCUGCUUUUAACUAGAUAGCAACUUUCAGCAGUGGAUGUCUAGGCUCGCACAUCGAUGAAGAACGCUGCGAACUGCGAUACGUAAUGCGAAUUGCAGGAUUCAGUGAGUCAUCGAAAUUUUGAACGCAUAUUGCACUUCCGGGUUAGUCCUGGGAGUAUGCCUGUAUCAGUGUCCGUACAUCAAACUUGGCUUUCUUCCUUCCGUGUAGUCGGUGGAGGAUGUGCCAGAUGUGAAGUGUCUUGCGGGUGUCCUUCGGGUCGUCUGCGAGUCCUUUGAAAUGUACUGAACUGUACUUCUCUUUGCUCGAAAAGCGUGGUGUUGCUGGUUGUGGAGGCUGCCUGCGUGGCCAGUCGGCGACCGGUUUGUCUGCUGCGGCGUUUAAUGGAGGAGUGUUCGAUUCGCGGUAUGGUUGGCUUCGGCUGAACAGGCGCUUAUUGUAUGCUUUUCCUGCUGUGGCGUGAUGGGCUGGUGAACCGUAGCUGUGUGUGGCUUGGCUUUUGAAUCGGCUUUGCUGUUGCGAAGUAGAGUGACGGCUUCGGCUGUCGAGGGUCGAUCCAUUUGGGAACUUUGUGUGCACCUCGGUGCGCAUCUCAAUUGGACCCUGAAUCAGGCAAGUCCCA